rnacentral:rRNA from 1 species
CCUACGGGUGGCAGCAGUGGGGAAUAUUGCGCAAUGGGCGAAAGCCUGACGCAGCGACGCCGCGUGAGGGAUGAAGGUCGUCGGAUCGGAAACCUCUGGCAGCAGGGAAGAACGGUCACAGGGCUAAUCAGCAGUGAAUUGACGGUACCGGCAAAGGAAGCACCGGCGAACUCCGUGCCAGCAGCCGCGGUAAUACGGAGGGUGCGAGCGUUAAUCGGAAUUACUGGGCGGAAAGCGCUCGUAGGCGGUAUGUCACGUCAAGGGUGAAAUCCCCGCGCUCAACGUGGGAACUGCCUUGGAAACUGGCAAACUGGAGUGUGUGAGAGGCUAGUGGCAUUCCCGGUGUAGGCGU